GAUCAUGGCUCAGGACGAACGCUGGCGGCGUGCCUAAUACAUGCAAGUCGAGCGAAUCAAUGGGAGCUUGCUCCUUGAGAUUAGCGGCGGACGGGUGAGUAACACGUGGGUAACCUGCCUGUAAGACUGGGAUAACUUCGGGAAACCGGAGCUAAUACCGGAUAGUUUCUUUUCUCGCAUGAGAGAAGAUGGAAAGAUGGUUUCGGCUAUCACUUACAGAUGGACCCGCGGCGCAUUAG
rnacentral:rRNA from 1 species